UACGAAGGGAGCUAGCGUUGUUCGGAAUCACUGGGCGUAAAGCGCACGUAGGCGGGUUUGUCAGUCAGGGGUGAAAUCCCGGAGCUCAACUCCGGAACUGCCCUUGAUACAGCAAGCCUUGAGUCCGGAAGAGGUAGGUGGAAUUCCUAGUGUAGAGGUGAAAUUCGUAGAUAUUAGGAAGAACACCAGUGGCGAAGGCGGCUAACUGGUCCAGAUCUGACGCUGAGGUGCGAAAGCGUGGGGAGCAAACAGG
rnacentral:rRNA from 1 species